AUUUCUGCAUCUGAUGAAAAAAAUGGUCUGGGGACAGGAACCAUACUCCCUCCCUUCAGAAUGGAUGUGAGUACACUCCAGACAGACUCUCCACUUGGCCUGGGCGGAGGUGACUGGCUGGACGGAGGACUCAGGAAACAGGAUUGGGAUGCCUUGAGAAGCACCUGCCCUCCAAGACCUCAGCCAAGGAGCACAGGACUGUGCCUGGCCUCAAAAUCAAAGGUUCUGGAACACGGUGCCUCGGAAUUCCCACAAGUCUCUGGUGUGUGAGAUAACCAUGCUUUUUGCCCCUGAGGGGCUCACUGGACAGUCAGAGAGACAAUGUGAUCCAGUAUCCACGUGGCAAGGGGGCAGGUGGGUGAGAAGGGCUGUGGGUGGCUGACAAGAGCUAAGGCCUUGGAGGCAGGUGACAGAUUUGGGCAGCAGGCCCCCACCCUUUUGGAGGCUUGGAUUUAAUUUUCAAGUAACCCCCGCCCAUUUCCAUCCUGCACCUGGCUUGUUUCCUUCCGCACCUGAUCCCAUUCUAUAAUUACACACUCACUCGUUUAUUAUCUAAACCCUCCUCUGAGAAGGAAAACUCGAGAGGGAAAGCCUGUUGCCGCCUCAUCUGCCAUUUCUACCCAGAGCCUGACCGAGGCCCGUGCAAUGAAAGUGCUGGAAAAGUCCUGUCGCCUGCAUAAAGCAGUGGUUUCUUGCCCUUCACCGGAGCCUGGGACGCCGAGCAUCUGGGCCUGGAACGCGGACAUGCGUGGGAGGGACGCGAAACUGUACCGGCAGCACUGGGAAAGAAUCGCUCUUUGUCCUAA